rnacentral:rRNA from 1 species
GAUGAACGCUGGCGGCGUGCUUAACACAUGCAAGUCGAACGGAAAGGCUCCUGCUUGCAGGGGUACUCGAGUGGCGAACGGGUGAGUAACACGUGGGUGAUCUGCCCUGCACUUCGGGAUAAGCCUGGGAAACUGGGUCUAAUACCGGAUAGGACCACAUUUUGGAUGGUGUGGUGGAAAGUUUUUCGGUGUGGGAUGAGCUCGCGGCCUAUCAGCUUGUUGGUGGGGUAAUGGCCUACCAAGGCGUCGACGGGUAGCCGGCCUGCGAGGGUGUACGGCCACAUUGGGGCUGAGAUACGGCCCAGACUCCUACGGGAGGCAGCAGUGGGGAAUAUUGCACAAUGGGCGCAAGCCUGAGGCAGCGACGCCGCGUGGGGGAUGACGGCCUUCGGGUUGUAAACUCCUUUCGCUAGGGACGAAGCGUUUUUGUGACGGUACCUGGAGAAGAAGCACCGGCUAACUACGUG